rnacentral:rRNA from 1 species
UACGAAGGGUGCAAACGUUGCUCGGAAUCAUUGGGCGUAAAGCGCACGUAGGCGGCCUCACAAGUCGGAUGUGAAAUCCCGUGGCUCAACCAUGGACGUGCAUUCGAAACUGCGAGGCUUGAGUAUGGAAGAGGGUCGCGGAAUUCCCGGUGUAGAGGUGAAAUUCGUAGAUAUCGGGAGGAACACCAGUGGCGAAGGCGGCGACCUGGGCCAAUACUGACGCUGAGGUGCGAAAGCGUGGGGAGCAACCAGG